rnacentral:rRNA from 1 species
AGAGCGAACGCUGGCGGCAGGCCUAACACAUGCAAGUCGAACGGACCCUUCGGGGUUAGCGGCGGACGGGUGAGUAACACGUGGGAACGUGCCUUUUGGUUCGGAAUAGCUCCUGGAAACGGGUGGUAAUGCCGAAUGUGCCCUUCGGGGAAAGAUUUAUCGCCAUUAGAGCGGCCCGCGUCUGAUUAGCUAGUUGGUGAGGUAAAGGCUCACCAAGGCUACGAUCAGUAGCUGGUCUGAGAGGAUGACCAGCCACAUUGGGACUGAGACACGGCCCAAACUCCUACGGGAGGCAGCAGUGGGGAAUCUUGCGCAAUGGGCGAAAAGCCUGACGCAGCCAUGCCGCGUGAAUGAUGAAGGUCUUAGGAUUGUAAAAUUCUUUCACCGGGACGAUAAUGACGGUACCCGGAGAAAGAAGCCCCGGCUAACUCGUGCCAGCAGCCGC